GCUUAAUCUUGAAUUGCUAUGUGCACAAAAAGUUGAAGUUUCAAAACUUGAACUAAGACGAUGUUAAAGAAAAAUCAACGUGAAUCAACACGUGGCGUAAAACUUAGAAGACUAAGAAAAAGUUCUAAGAGAAAAUAAAGAAGCGCACCACAGAAGGGUGUGGGCAGAAGAAAAGGGGCAUAAGAGCCGGGGACAAGAGAGUCAGCAGAAGAGCAGAAGCAUAAGAGGAAGAAGAGACAUAAGAGAGUGAGCAACCCCACUCCCACUGGUUUUAUCUUCUCACACUGGGAGUGUCUGAGGAGAAAAAGGAGGGGUCAUCGGGUCUCUGAUUAUUUGAUCUAACUUAUUCUUUUGGCUGGUAAAAGAGUCAGAUCUGAUACUCACUCACUAUGAUUAAUAUCAUUGAAUGCUUGGUUUCAUGAUAAAUAAUUUGAUACUAAACACAUAUGAAUGAAGUGUAGGAUCACAUCAAACAUUCUCAUUAUGUUUUAAGUAUCACAUUGAACAUGCUAAAUUACUCUGAAAUGAAACAGAUAGUAACACAUAGAAACUGUGAACAACAAAAGAGUAAACACAUGUGAAUGAACGUCAUCAUGAUUAAUAAUGGAUUCUAAAUACUCACAUUCAGAUUAUUCAGUGACAUUAUAACCACCUAAUGGUUAAGAUACUAAAUAAAUAACUAAAAUAUAAACCAAACAUUUCUAAACUAUUUCUGUUACUUAGAGUAAACUUAGGAUUCAUAGUCAAUAAAUUUAACUCUUAAAAGUUCAUGAAACAGUCUGAAAAGCUGUUGGUCUAAAGAACUAAAGAAUAAGGAUUUAUUCUGUCAGAUAAGAUAACUUGGCUUCUGAAGCACAUAGAAAAACGGGAAACAUCUCAUUUUAACACAAAUUUCAUGAUUAGACAGAUUAGUACAUUGCUGAAUGCAUAAGAUGUCAUGAUCAGUCAUUUGUAUUCUUUCACCAAAGGAAUGCAGUCUUUAUCAGUGAAUGGUCGAGCAGGGUUUUACGACCGAGGUCUGGAGGUCAGUGUCCCCCCUUAUCCUGGGGUCCGUAUGUUCACACACUUUAAGACGCUAAAUCUCAAAUGGGAGAUCUGGGUUGAGACGUUAAUGUUUAUUUAGAUGGUCAGCAAUGGAGUCAGUUUGAAAGGUAAUAAAAACUCUGUCUCUGUUCGCCGAACUGACCAAUCCUGAAGAGUCAGAGGUUUAGUCAACCUAUGGUUGGGUCACUUAUUUAACCUGAAAGUGCAAACACGUCUGGAAAGAUUUAUAUCCUGUUUCCUGGGACCAGAUAAGGAAACUUUCCUGUAAGGAAUGUGUGGGUUUCACAUCCAGGGUUGUCUUGAUUGCUACAGUCCCCCCUUCGUCACGGUGGUCCUGUCCAUGGAGCAUCGGGACGACGAGUAGACAACCAUGAAGCAGCAGCAGGUGUAUGCAAAUAGGACUGAUGCGUCUCGUCAUCACUAUGUGAAUCACUAGUACUGCUUUGAGAUAAAAUUAAGCAUGCAUUAAGCUAUCAAAUAAAAUCGUCUAGGUGUUAGACUUUUCUCAGUUAACUAUUGGUAGACUAAUGUGAAAGAAAAUCUCCUAAUUUUCAGUAUUAAUGAGAUUUAGAAAAGCACUCUAGUCUGAAUGCUAACUGGAUCUAAAGCUAUAGCUGUUUUUCAUGCUUGCUGGAGAAGUCUGAAAGUUCAAUUUCAGUUUCAAAAAUGGUUAAGACUUAGGUGGAAAAGAAAUGUCUGCUAAAGACAUAUUAACCAUCUGUGUAUGAGCAUAGUCAACCUGAAUCACAAACAUCAAAAGUUUACUGCACAGAGUUUCUCUUAAACUUUGUCUGUUAAACUUGGGGAUGAUGCUCUUAUCGGUUUGACUAAUUAUCUGCUGUUGAGUCUGAAAUUUGUCAAUCUGAGUCUUAGUGACAGAAAUUUCAGCUUUUAAUCUGUUCAUGGGAUAUUUGACAGCUGACAAGCUGACUAUAUUGACAGAGGAGAGACAAAUGCUAACAAAGAAAGCAGCAACUGGUAUUGCAGUCAUCAAUGUAUCACCACAGCAUUUGGAUAUCUUAUUGGAGUCAUUUAGCUUUGGCUAGGUGACUUCUGCUUUCGCAGGACUCACACCUUCAUGACUCCACAGUGUUAAUCUCAGUGGUUAGCUGAGUAGUCAUGUUUAUUCACCUUCAAAGUGGAUGAAACCGAUUGAGGUGGAUAAUAAGAUCGUCGUUUCUGAGAGUGUGAUUUACUCUGAUUCUGCCAGUCAUUCACCCCACUUUGGCGGUGUUGAUGGUUUUUCCUUUGUCUGGGAUAAAACCCACCGUGACGGGAGUCUGAAUAACAACAGUUGGUCUCAAAGUUUACCUGGCAUUGGUCUGUGUCAGACCUGGGCCUUGGUAUGUAACUUUGACCUUUGUGAGUUUGUUGAGGUCGAAAAGGUUUUGGAGGCCUGGUUAACCACUCAUUUGGAGGCUUAUCGGAGCCUGAAAAAACACAGUCUGAAGCUUCGUUCAGCUCCAUGGGCAGUGAUUUUGUCUCCAUAGCCAACAGAGUAACAGGCUCUGCUUUCUUAGCCAAAGUUUGUCGUUGUUUGGCAAAACCUUUUACAGCAAGUUCACGAAGCUGUCGGCUAGUCAAAGUGUUUGGACAAGCUAAGACGCCAAGGUGAUGACUGGUGGUAGGGUGGAGGUUCUGGACGAACAGCGUUUUGAAGUUCAAGUCCUCCUCCAUUUCUGGUUCAUUUCGGAAACCAAAGUAAGCUUCGCGUAAGCGGUUGUAAUAAUGUUGGGGAGGUUCUGAUCUCCCUUGUUUAAUAGACAGAGCAGCAGAAAGGCCUGUCUGGGUCAAAUGAUCAGAAAACUCUUCAAUUAAUGCUUGGCAGAGCAAGUCAUAAUUAUUUCUGACAUGAUAAGGCUGUCGUUCAAGGAAACUGCUAACCUCUCGACUUGACGUUGCCUUAAUAAGGUAGAUUUUGUCAUCAGUGGUUGCACCUGGAAAUUUCCUCAGGUAAAAGUCAAUAUCUUUCAAGUAGGUGCAGGUGUCAGUAGCACCUUGGUGCUCAGGUUCAAAGCGUGCUAUGUUACGAGCAAUUUUGUCAAGAUCCCUGUCUGAGGGAAAUGGCAAGAAACCAUCAUGAGGAGGAGAGUAGGACUUUUGGCUUAAGGAUGACCUCUCAGGGUCAAGCAGGGUCCUGUCAUGAUGCUGAGAGAGAUACUUAAGAGUUGGUUUGGAAGGAAGUGAUGGCGCUCUCUCAGGAGGCUGAUCAUAUAUCAUUUCUUCGAGAAAAGUUUGCUUCAUGCGUUCUCUUUGGGCUCGACCUGACUGGAGGGAGCAUCGUAACUCUCUUUGGGCAUCUUCAAGUUCUUUAUCUGUCUUUCCUUGCCGUUCUUGACAAAGAAUUAACUGUCUUUGAGCUAUCUGGAGCUGGUGCUGUAAGGUAGAAGUUUGCUUCUCCUUAACUUCAAGAGCUUCAGCACGCACUUUGACCAGUGCUUUCAAAGCUUUUACAUCUUCUGUUGCUUGCUCUAGUAGGGAUUCUGACUGUAUCAGAUCCUCUGUGGUCUUAGCAAGCUGCUUAUUCGUGUCAUCAAGUUCUUUCUCCUUUUUGUAAAGGGUUUCAUUAAGUCUUUCAAUCUUGUCUUUGAGAUCAAGAUUUUCUUCAUGACUUAUCAGUGAGGGAAGCUUUGACGCUUCACAUCUGGCACUGUGUUUUUCUAAAACACUUAGAGACUUCUUAGUCUCCUCUAGCGUCUUUUUCAGAGCGCUGUUUUCGUCUUUUUGCGCCUUUAUCUUUGCUAAAGCGCAUUCCAGCAAGUAGUCUUUAUACUCAAGCUGAGAAGACAUCACGACAGACAUGCAUCUAGUGAGCUCUUUGUCACGAAGUGUCGUGGUUAAAGCUGUUUCCAGUAAGUCAGCCAUUGCAUCCUCCGGAUUGGAGGGUUUGGCCUUUUGAAUCUUAGUCAUAUACUGAGGUAUCAGCUGACUAGUCAAGUUUGCCAACACUGUGUGUAUCUCCCUCAGGGGGUCUCCCUGGCUGGACUCUUUUGUGUUAGGCAUGUUUGGUUUUGGUAAAGAGGAGCAGGUGGUUGGUUGAUGAGUUUGAGUUGGCUUAAAAUGAAAAGAAGAAGCAAAAUAUCAAAUUAAGUGAGUUAAUCGACUUAAUUUAUCAGUGCUUGAUAAAGAGGAAGAGCCUAUCUGAGUAGAUAUCUAAUGGAGAGAAAAAUAACAUUAAGUUAAAUUCAUUUCAAUGACAAUUGAAAAAGUGAAAUGAUGUUAAAUUAAAUUUAACAUCAGAUACAGAACCAUUGAAUAAAGGGUUCAAAGUGUCUCCGUGUUGCAGAGAUCAGCAAAGCUUAAAUAAACUGCCUGAUGCAGUUGGAUGAAUCUGAAACCAAUGAAAUUGUCAAUUUAAGGAAUUAACUCUGAAGUUAAUUCACAAAUCGCAAUAAAGCCAAAGAUUCAACUACCCAAUUCAUCUGAAAUGGUAAAAUAGAUUUCAAAUAUUAAUUAAUUUGUUCAUUAAUUAAUUAAUCUUAUGAGGAGGGUUAAUACAUUCAUGUAUUAUAGGGAACAGUAAAACUGCUCAAUGGUGUGAUAAGUAACAACAGAUCAGGUGAUUGAUUCAAGGAGUUACUUUAUCAAUACAUUAUGUAGGCUCUUAUAACAAAGAUAAAAAUCAAAAAUCAAUGAUCAAUGAUUUAGAAUAAGCACAUCAAACUUCAUCAACCAAGUCAAUCACUUGAGUUAUGUCUGUAGAGUGUUACACACUGACUACAGAGAGGCAGUACAGCUGGCUGAUACUGCAGGCAGAUAAUAGCAGUGUUAGCUCAAUACCAAAAACAACCAUGUGGGGCAGUAUGGAGUUGGGGUAACUGCACAAGCUCAACACAAGUGGAGAAGAAGAAGAGAAGAGGAAACAGUCAUCCAACUAGCCUCUUGUGGCUGUGAGGAGUUGGGAAGUGUGCAGGAAGGGGCCUUUAGGCUCUGCCUCCUUGAAGGGCCUUAUCUGCUUAAGGCCAAAGGGUCAGUCUCUCCACUGACAACAAAGGGUUAACAUUUCACAGCAGGCUGCAUCUGCUCCCUCAAACAUAGAACUUUACACCAUCUGCUCAGGCAGAUUGGUUCAAUAAAAUCAUUUACAGGAACAAGAAUCGAAGUGACAAAUCCUUAAACAGCAGAUUCAACUGCGGACUUUAAAAUCACAAAUGCGGCGAUUUGUGAUCACGAAUUUUGUCUUAAUUCAUUCAAACAACAACCUCCCACUGUUACAGUGGUUUCCUGUGACAGGUAGUUAAUCUGUCAGGGGAAAGGAGGAAAUCUGAAUCCCAUAUAGUUACUAGAACUUCGUAGCAGACUAUAGAGACAAGAAUCAAAGUGACAAAUCCCUCAACAGCAGAUUCAACUGCAGACUUUAAAAUCACAAAUGUGGCGAUUUGUGAACACAAAUUUUGUCUGAAUUCAAUCAAACAACAACCUCCCACUGUUACAGUGGUUUCCUGUGACAGGUAGCUAAUCUGUCAGGGGAAAGGAGGAAAUCUGAAUCCCAUAUAGUUACUAGAACCUCGUAGCCGACUACAGAGACUUCAGGGGCUUGAAACCACAGCUCGGAGCAUCGCGAACACUGGGUUCAGCCAAAGGCCUUAAAUACAAGCGUACGGCGACGCCACAAUCGUGCACUUAAAUAUUGGACAGUCUAGACAGAGCAGAGGAGUCAGUCUCACUGCUACUCAGAACAACAUUUCACGCUGUCCAGCUCAAACACAGACUACAGGCAUGUAGUACAAGAGUGUGUGAAACACAGAGCAUAAAGGUUUUAUGCAUAGAUCAUGAAAACAUCAGAACUUAGUCAAGCAACUUCAGCAAGCAUAGCAUUGAUUGUGAUUAAGUCAAAAUAGCCUGGAAAUAAGUUUCUCGCAUCAAUUUGGAAGGCUAAGUUUUAGGUUGUCUGUUAGUAUCCAGAAGUUUUGUUUGAAACGCCUCACGCAGGGGCUCCAAAAUAUAUGUAGUGAUUUGAAAUGAGCCUCAUACGGUCGCACCAAAAUAUAUGUAGCGAUUUGAAAUGAGCCUCACAAGGCCGCACCAAAAUAAUACUUGGCGAUUGGAAUUUAUAAUAAAUGUCUGAAGAUUAAUAAUCUCAAAUUAUGACAUUUAUGCACUCGUUGAAAGGGGCACCACCCACCCUUAAUGGUGGGAAAAUAAAGAAAACAAAAGUUUAAUUCAGAAAUCAAACAUCAAGUCAGUUUUAAUUAAUCAGUCUUAAUUAAUCAGUCUUAAUUAAUCAGUCUCAUAUCUUAAGUCGAAAUUCUAAUUUCAGGGACUCCACUUCUGGAAGAACACUAACAGACAGGAACUUAGAAAAAUAAUGAUCUGUUUAUUACAGGAUAAAUGAUGGUACAACACACAUGCAAUAAAUGAUGAUAAGAUAAUGAAGAUAAAUAAUAAUAGGUGAAUAAAUAAAGAUUCUGAGUCAGGCUAAGAGCACUAAAGUUAAUGAUAGUGAGUGAAUAUGCGCUAACAUAUUAACCUACACUAACUUUGGUGUCGAGAUAAACUCGGAUGUGGAUUUGGAGGAAUCUAAGAUCACCAGAAAUAGGUGGAUAUCUGAGUUAUGAACGCAUGAGACAGCACCAGCCCUCUUUAGAGCUCUGGAGGUUUGCAUACUUAAGUGAGACUGGUCCUUGGAGAAGAUGGAGCAGGUUCCGAAGGUCCGGGCUACUGGCGGUUCGAGCGGUUCAGCUCAGAAGACGACUGAAGUCAGCCGAAGGAUGAGCCAGGAGUUGCAGCACUCGGGCCCGAAGCAAAGCCAGCGCCUGUGGAUCCUGUGGAUGCUCGUUUGGGUACUUCUUUGGUCUCACUUAAAAACUCUGGCACAGAGGAUGACCUGGGCCUGCUGGGUUGCGUUCAGAGGUGACUUUGAAUCACGCAGAAAACUCAGAAAAACGAGGCUCGAAGAGCAGAGAAAACUUUCAAAAAUGGCUUCGCGAAAUUAAAGGAAAAUCAAUCAAAGGCUUAAUCUUGAAUUGCUAUGUGCACAAAAAGUUGAAGUUUCAAAACUUGAACUAAGACGAUGUUAAAGAAAAAUCAACGUGAAUCAACACGUGGCGUAAAACUUAGAAGACUAAGAAAAAGUUCUAAGAGAAAAUAAAGAAGCGCACCACAGAAGGGUGUGGGCAGAAGAAAAGGGGCAUAAGAGCCGGGGACAAGAGAGUCAGCAGAAGAGCAGAAGCAUAAGAGGAAGAAGAGACAUAAGAGAGUGAGCAACCCCACUCCACUGGUUUUAUCUUCUCACACUGGGAGUGUCUGAGGAGAAAAAGGAGGGGUCAUCGGGUCUCUGAU
rnacentral:lncRNA from 1 species